UCUUAAUGAUGAAUUACACUUCAUGGUCCGUGUUUAUGAAACUCUGUGACUUUAAUUGAAGGUCUGAUCCU